ACGGUGUCUUCGGACAUAGUGGCGCACGGGUGCGUAACACGUAUGCAACCUACCUUACAUUGGGGGAUAGCCUUUCGAAAGGGAGAUUAAUACCGCAUAAGACAGUAGCUGGGCAUCCAGCAGCUGUUAAAGAUUUAUCGAUGUAAGAUGGGCAUGCGACCAAUUAGUUAGUUGGCGAGGUAACGGCUCACCAAGACUAUGAUUGGUAGGGGAACUGAGAGGUCAAUCCCCCACACUGGCACUGAGAUACGGGCCAGACUCCUACGGGAGGCAGCAGUAGGGAAUAUUGGGCAAUGGACGCAAGUCUGACCCAGCCAUGCCGCGUGCAGGAUGAAGGCGUUAUGCGUCGUAAACUGCUUUUAUACAGGAAGAAACGACUCUUGCGAGAGGCAUUGACGGUACUGUAUGAAUAAGCACCGGCUAACUCCGUGCCAGCAGCCGCGGUAAUACGGAGGGUGCAAGCGUUGUCCGGAUUUAUUGGGUUUAAAGGGUGCGCAGGUGGUUUAUUAAGUCAGUGGUGAAAGACGGUCGCUCAACGAUUGCAGUGCCAUUGAAACUAGUAGACUUGAGUAAAGUAGAGGUGGGCGGAAUUGAUAGUGUAGCGGUGAAAUGCAUAGAUAUUAUCAAGAACUCCAAUUGCGUAGGCAGCUCACUUGGCUUUUACUGACACUCAUGCACGAAAGUGUGGGUAUCAAACAGGAUUAGAUACCCU
rnacentral:rRNA from 1 species